UACGUAGGUGGCAAGCGUUGUCCGGAUUUACUGGGCGUAAAGAGCGCGCAGGCGGUCGUUCAAGUCGCGUGUGAAAGCCCCCGGCUCAACUGGGGAGGGUCACGCGAUACUGAUCGACUCGAAGGCAGGAGAGGGAAGUGGAAUUCCCGGUCGUAGUGGUGGAAAUGCGUAGAUAUCGGGAGGAACACCAGUGGCGAAGGCGACUUCCUGGCCUGUUCUUGACGCUGAGGCGCGAAAGCUAGGGGAGCAAACGGG
rnacentral:rRNA from 1 species